rnacentral:rRNA from 1 species
UACGUAGGGUGCAAGCGUUAAUCGGAAUUACUGGGCGUAAAGCGUGCGCAGGCGGUUAUGCAAGACAGAUGUGAAAUCCCCGGGCUCAACCUGGGAACUGCAUUUGUGACUGCAUGGCUAGAGUACGGUAGAGGGGAAUGGAAUUCCGCGUGUAGCAGUGAAAUGCGUAGAUAUGCGGAGGAACACCGAUGGCGAAGGCAAUCCCCUGGACCUGUACUGACGCUCAUGCACGAAAGCGUGGGGAGCAAACAGG